rnacentral:tRNA from 1 species
AAAUUAUUUAAUAAUUUGUUUUGAAAACAAGUUAAAAGAUUUUGUUAUCUUGUAAUUUUG